GGAGAGGUACCGAAGCGGUCAUAACGGCACCGACUCGAAAUCGGUUGGGCUUUAACUAGCCACAAGGGUUCGAAUCCCUUCCUCUCCGCCA
rnacentral:tRNA from 1 species